rnacentral:sRNA from 1 species
GGAGGGAAGGAAGACUAGAUAAACCAAAUUCUGAUACGAGUGCUGGAACCCAACCUUCUUUUCCUCC